AGUUUCUUUUAUAAACAUGUAUGUACUAUUGAACUACUGCUGCUAUUACAGGGAGCAGGCAUUUUUUUAAACGCACUAUUCUUACAAUCAGGAAAUACAGGACGCUAUUACUUCGCGGGGGAAGACGGACACUGGGAAGAGUCCACGCCGGCGAAGGCAGGUGAAGACCGGGCUCGCUGACGCCCCCCGUCGCCCGCGCCUCUUCCCACAGCUCUCGGAGGAGCCCAGCGACCGGAAACACGCCACGCCGGGCCUCAGGAAUUCUGGGCAUGGGACGGACAGCUCGUGACCUCAGAAGAAGGAAAACGGUCACCUUCUGAAAGAAACACGAACUCCUUUUUCCUGUAUCAGAACACUUCUCAUUCCCCUGAGCGCGGCGUUUCUAUCCUGAGGUGCUGGGAGGAGGUUCGAGGUGGGCUGGGUGACGGUUUUCUCUUGGAAAUGAAAAACAGCCUUUCCCGCUACCCCCGCCCGCUCACACAAGAGAGGCUUGGAGUCCGCCCCGCGGAAAGCCGUUUCUAUGGGUGACGACGUAUGGCAACGCGUCUAAGGCGACGUCGGCGAGGGGACUAUUGUGUUCCCAAAGUCGUCCUCAAAGGAGGACAGAAGUUUGGGGGAGCCGGGGGCGUAGAGGCGAGGCACGAUCUGAUUGGCCCGUGGCUCCGCAACGAUGGGGCUGGACGGGGCGGAAGUACUGGCGUGCGCAGGGGCGUCCCAGCGCGCCGGCUAGUCUCUCUCACGCCCUUGCGGGUGCGCAGGUCUCUAAACUGGGCGGAGCGAGGGAAGUGAUGUGUGGCUUCCGGAAGGACGCGCGUAAAUUCUCCCCCAUAAGUAACAAGUCGCGGUAGAUAGUCCAGCGAGGCCUUCUUACGAGACCAAGCCCUUGGUGGGUGUGGCACUGGCGAACCCGAGGAAUGAGAAAGGAGGCCCGGCAGAAAGUUCGGGUGAUCCACCCGCCUCGGCCUCCCAAAGUGCUGGGAUUACGGGCAUGAGCCACCGCACCACCAAGCCUGGCCUGCAGGCUGUAUAUUCAUCAGCAGCACUGGCAUCUGCUUCUGGUGAGAACCUCAGGAAGCUUCCACUCAUGGUAAAAGGUGAAGGGAAGCCAGUGUGUCACAGAAAAGAGGGGGAACAAGAGGAAAGGAGGUGCCAGGCUCUUUUUAACAAUCAGUUCUCAGAGAUUAAGAGUGAGAACUCAUUACUGCAAGGAUAGCACCAAGCCAUUCAUGAGAGAUCUGCCCCCAUUACUCAAACAACUCCCACUAAGCCUCACCUCCAGUGUUGGGAAUCAAGUUUCAACAUGAGAUUUGAAGAGGAGAAAUAUCCAAACUGUAUUGGGAUUCAGCAUGUGAAUUGGGGGGUGGGGGCACAGACAUUCAAUCCAUAGUAGUUAUUUUUGGUGACCUACCAUUUUCAUUUUUAGAGAAACCAUUCUUUUUCACUUAUACUUAGCUAACUUUUCUGAUAUGAAUAAAAUUGCAUAUUUGUAAUAACGAGUAUGAGUGACAUACACAGAUUUAGGAACAAACUUUCCUGGUAAGCAAAAAUCUCAGCUGGUAAGAGCAGAAGUGCAUGGUCCUAUUAAGAAGUAGCCUACAACUUUACUAUAGCCUGCAGUGUGCUGCAUGUUCUAUGUGAAUUUGCUUUACAGAGGGAAUGAGCAAGAUUGAUUAAUCCAGGGUUAGACAAGUGGCCUCUAAAGUGAGCUUCUCUUGCUCCACUGUUUUUCCAAACUCCCAGGGUAGAAACUCCUGUGUUUCUACUUGAUAUAGGAGUACUUGAUAUAGGAGUAAAUUCAUAGGAUAAAUUUCUAGCUUUGUACCUUUCUUUCAUUUGAUUAAACAUUAUGAAAUAUGUACUAUAUGAUGAGCCCUGUUCUGAACCCUAAGGAUUCAAAGAUGAGUAAGACAUGGUUCCUGUUCUUGAAAAUUUCAGUAUAGUAGUAUAAUUCUCAAAGCUGCCCAAAGGCACAAUGCCUACAUAUGCACAUGUUAACAACAGGGCCUCUAACUACAGUGUAUACAUGUAAGUCACCUGGGUGCCUGUAAAAAUACAUACUUCCACUUUAUUUCUGUGAACCUCCUCCCUAUAACCCGUAUCUGAUCACAAGAGAAAGACAAAUUCCAGUAAAGGAGAAUCCUGCCUGACCAGGGCUUUUCAAAACUGUCAGUAUCAUCAAAAACAAGGAAAGUUUGAGAUAAUGGCAUCAUCCAAAGGAGCCUAAGACAACCACCUAAAUAUAAACGUGGUACCCUGGACAGGAUCCUGGAACAUGAAAAGGUUA